UACGUAGGGUGCAAGCGUUGUCCGGAAUUAUUUGGGCGUAAAGAGCUCGUAGGCGGUUUGUCGCGUCUGCUGUGAAAACGCGAGGCUCAACCUCGCGCCUGCAGUGGGUACGGGCAGACUAGAGUGCGGUAGGGGAGAUUGGAAUUCCUGGUGUAGCGGUGGAAUGCGCAGAUAUCAGGAGGAACACCGGUGGCGAAGGCGG
rnacentral:rRNA from 1 species